rnacentral:rRNA from 1 species
AUUGAACGCUGGCGGCAUGCUUUACACAUGCAAGUCGAACGGUAACAGGCCGCAAGGUGCUGACGAGUGGCGAACGGGUGAGUAAUGCAUCGGAACGUGCCCAGUCGUGGGGGAUAACGCAGCGAAAGCUGCGCUAAUACCGCAUACGAUCUAUGGAUGAAAGCGGGGGACCGUAAGGCCUCGCGCGAUUGGAGCGGCCGAUGUCAGAUUAGGUAGUUGGUGGGGUAAAGGCCCACCAAGCCAACGAUCUGUAGCUGGUCUGAGAGGACGACCAGCCACACUGGGUCUGAGACACGGCCCAGACUCCUACGGGAGGCAGCAGUGGGGAAUUUUGGACAAUGGGCGCAAGCCUGAUCCAGCAAUGCCGCGUGCAGGAAGUAGGCCUUCGGGUUGUAAACUGCUUUUGUACGGAACGAAACGGUCUGGGUUAAUACCCCGGGCUAAUGACGGUACCGUAAGAAUAAGCACCGGCUAGCUACGUGCCAGCCGCCGCGGUAA